ensembl:lncRNA
CCUUGCUGUCACCCUGCUGUCACCCUGCUGUCACCCUGCUGUCACCCUGCUGUCACCUUGCUGUCACCCUGUUGUCACCCUGCUGUCACCUUGUUGUCACCCUGCUGUCACCUUGCUGUCACCCUGCUGUCACCCUGCUGUCACAAGGAAGCUUUGAAAUCCUCUUCAGUCCCUUUCACAGAAUCUCAUGUGAUCCUCUAUCUAGGGUGGUUUCUGUGGUCUAGGGUGGUUUCUGUGGUCUAGGGUGGUUUCUGUGGUCUAGGGUGGUUUCUGUGGUCUAGGUGGUUUCUGUGGUGUAGGGUGGUUUCUGUGGUCUAGGGUGGUUUCUGUGGUCUAGGGUGGUUUCUGUGGUCUAGGGUAGUUUCUGUGGUCUAGGGUGGUUUCUGUGGUCUAGGGUGGUUUCUGUGGUCUAGGGUAGUUUCUGUGGUCUAGGGUAGUUUCUGUGGUCUGGGGUGGUUUCUGUGGUCUAGGUUGGUUUCUGUGGUCUAGGGCGGUUUCUGUGGACCCUGCCAUCAUUCAGAGUUUCAAUCAGAACAUGAUCUAGAGACUGAAUCUGGAGACUGAAUCUGGAGACUGAAUCUGGAGACUGAAUCUAGAGACUUGAAUCUAGAGACUUGAAUCUAGAGACUUGAAUCUAGAGACUUGAAUCUAGAGACUUGAAUCUAGAGACUUGAAUCUAGAGACUUGAAUCUAGUGACUUGAAUCUAGAGACUUGAAUCUAGUGACUGGAUCUGGAGACUGCCACCUACUUGCUUACUGUCUACGUGUGUAUCUACAUGCCUGACUUGUUGUGUGUUUCGGUGACUAAUGACUGUUUCAUGUAAAUAUUAAAUAUAUACAUCACACUCCUCUUAACCUGUUUAGUCCAAUGGUUUUAGAUUAUACAAGUCAAUCAAUGACCAUGUGGUUUCUGGGUGAUGUCUUCUUAUAGAUACAGGUCUCUACCUAGCCAUAGGGUCAAGAGUAGUGCACUAUGUAG